AACAAAUAAGCUCGUGUAAAUAACAGAUUUUUCAAUCAUAUGACGGAAGUUAUAGGUAAUUUAUCAUAUUUACUUAAAAUUUUCACAAUUGUGAAACGCGGCAUUCGGGAAGAUUUAACUGUUUUAUUAAUAUUUAACGACCGCCCUGUUGUGUCCGAUUAGAACACACAAUGCGCAAAUCAGAGUAGUGGUUUUUGUUCUGUUGUCUGCAUUGAUCUAUUCCAAGUCAAAGCUGUUGAGAAAAUUCACAUGAAAGUGUUUAAGACAAUACAAAGGAUUUAUAGAUCACUUUACGAAAGAUUUGUUUUUUUUGAGCUCCAUAUUUAUCUGCGUCAAGGUAUAAAAGGGUCACACAAUCGUUUAAAGUAUCGAGAUCAGAAAGUUUAAUGAGUACAAACAACAACAGUCAUGAAGAGGGUUCAAGGUUUACACCUAUUAUUUGCCAUAGCGCUUUCAGCAGUGGAUACGUUCGGUGAAGUCGCUUUGACUCCAACCAUGAGCAGUUACGCCGAGGAGAAUGUAAGCAAUGAUACUUUACCAUUGUGCAAAUUUAAGGUGUGUAACGAAAGCAAACGAUUUUUCCAUAUUCAAUACCAAGAAUCUAAUCCAGCAUUCGUCAAAUUCAAACUGAGAAUCAUUGGGACCUCCGUCGUAGAGUCGAGACGUGGUAUUGCCACAUCACUGGUUCUGGACCUACUCGACCAAGCGCUCAAAAUAUCCGUACCUCAGGUGGUUUAUUGACUUCGGUAUAGUCUCAUUCUCAUUGUUAGAUGCAAGGACAUUAGAACUUAAAUAUUUGGCUGUCGAAUCAAUACCAGAUGAAAAUUCGCUUCAGUGUAAAGUAAUAUUUGGUGAUAACAGGUCAAUGAUGAAUGUAGUGACGGCAUUAUCUGAAGAAGUUUCAAAUACACGGUCGAAUGACGAACAUAGAUUUCAACAACAGUUUUUCUGUUAUGUGACAUUACUAAAAGAUUUCAAUACUAGCAUGGAAUAUCUUGCUGGACUAUAUUUUUAUUUUCCAACUAAUAUCUUUGCAUACUCGUGCUGUGAAUUAAACUAUGAUUACUCUAACGGAACAUAUUCAGAGCCGGAAUGCAACCAAAAGCAGAAUAAAUGGACAAUGUGCACUACUGGACCGUAUAUUGUCGGAAUUCUAAUUUUAAUAUUAUUUCCCUUAUUUGGAUUCAAUCUACUCGGCGCAAUUUCAAAAUCGGAAAUCAUUCAGCCGUAUGACUACGAAAGACUGAAUAUAUCUGCAUCUUUAUCGCAACGGAAAACAACCAUUGACAUAGUCAGAUCUGCCUUCGAGAAUGGUAUCCGGCUUCAAACAGAAUCAUUCGUUAAUGUUUUCCCGUCUGAGGCGAUUUUUGUGCGUGCUUAGUGUACCCGUUUAAUUGUUUGCAAGGAUUUUAAUGUAUAAAGACGGUAUCGUUUCAAUUAACACAAUAACAGUAGGUGAUCUUGUUUCUAAAGGCAAGCCUUCAGGAUUCGUGUCUCUUCUAGCCGCGGCUGAGGAUGCCCGAAAAACAUUUUUACCGAUUCUAGGAGGGCCGAUAAAAGUUAUAUGCAUUUAUUGUAUUCUUGGAAUUAUUAUAACGGUAAUUCCCAGAAGUUUGAAACAGAUUGUUGAAAACGGAAUGCCGACAAAACGACAAUGGUCUCCGUUAUUUUUCGGACUUGACGAAGUAUUAUGUAUGGCUCACCUUGAACCGGAAACUGAGCCCGGAUAUUACAAGGCGGCUGCAUUGUGUAAAGGCAGCUUUCUGAUGCUUUUCAACAGCAUUGUUUGGCGCAGACUUUUCUUCUCCCAAAAUGUGCGUUUUAUGCAGUUAUACAGAAAUAAACUCAAGUUCUUUACACUUAUUCUACCGUUAAUUACAUUUUGUUCUGUGGAAAUUGUUAUUUGCUUUAUCUUCAAUGCUUUUCCGUUAUUUAACGGUGGAGGUAUUAUCAUAAAAGGCUUUGUGGUAUCCAUUAUGGAACAAAGGAAGUUUUAUCCUGGUUCCAGGUUGUUGUCAUCUAAAUCUGUUUUGUCCUUAUUUGUGUUUUAUAGUUUUUACAUUGUUUUCAAAUGUGACAAUUUUAAUUUUCCUUGAUAUUUUUAUAUUCAUAUCGCAGAUACUAAUAAUGUGCUUUGUAUCAGCUGUAGUAUUUCCUUCUACCAGUUUUGGCUAUAUAUUUUUCUUUGUAGCAAUAUUGUACUAUCUUUUUCGGCUUAUUCGACAAUUUGGGAAUGUGUAUUUGGAACUACUGUCAAUAGCUAUUGAAAAGUGUGUUAUUUUGGACGCCUGCGAUAAUGUUGUAGCUCAAGCUAAUGAUGUAGGAGUUUCAAGCAUCAGUAUGUCUGUUAAUGACGAUGCAACCCUAGAAAGAACUUCCCUUACAAAUAAGUCUAAAAAGAUACGCCAGAAUGGAAGCUUCCAUGGAAUUCCUAGAAAUUUGUUUGAAUACUUGAUCCGGAAGCAUCGCUCUAUAUACUUUCAGGUCAUCAUGCUACUUUUUAAAAUUGCGCUUAUUAUAACUUACAUUUAAUGUUGUUUCUGCCAAUGAGCGGUCUGACGUCAUGCAUGUGGUCUUCGUGGUAACAGUUGGUGCGUUGCCAAGAGUGUUGGAAGUCGUUUUGAUCAAUGAAAGUGACAUUAUUAAAAGACAAAUGGAGGUAGCAAAGAUAGAAAAGUUGAUAGUACGAUUCUGGAAUUGUCAGCCAAGCGUGGACAUUAAAACCACGGCAUGAUUUUGAGUCUUAGUCCGGCCGUGAUAAAAACUGAUUAUAUGUCUUUUUUAUCUCUGAUUAUAAGUUUCUCUUUUCUUUUUAGACAUAGUUUAAACUUAUGUUGAUAGCAAAUAAAGCGCAUAUUAUUAAAA